GUCGGUGGCCCGGAAGACGUGGCAGGCCAUGGGGGAGUCAGGGUUGUCGGGCUGCGCCUUGAUCAGGAGGAUCAAAUGACAAGACACGUUUUUGUGUUAUUCCAGUACCUGCAAGGUCUUAACAGAACCACCCUGCAUGCCUCUGCAAAGGAGUGGAAAUUACUCUCAUUAUACCUACAGCCAAGAAGGUAAUAAAACAUUCAAACAGGGCAAACCGGAAAAAGAAACAUUCUUCUCCCAAUUUAUCACCUCUCUGCCUUUAUUUUUAAUUCAUUCAAGGCAAUGUGUUUUCAAGUGUUCAAACAGAGUGCAAAGGCUUAAAAGGGGGAAGGUAAAAAAUAAAGGCGGUGGGUUUACAAUGAACAAGAAGGUUAAAGAAAGGCAGUACAAUUUUAUGGAAGCAGAAACAGAGACAUGCUUUUACUUGGCCAAAGCGUGCAGAAGCUGAAUAUAUAAAACACUAGUGCACAGAUUACUUCAGCCAUUUUUGUGCACUCCUUCUGUGGAGCUUUCUAAAAAAUAGCUUUCUGCAAGUGGGCUGGUGUGUCUGAAAUUAAUGGGAAAAAAAAAAGUCAUGUGACAAAGACAAGUCAUAGCUAGGACAUUCUUUCAUUAUUCCGUCCCCUGAAUUUGUUGACUGUGCAAGACCCCACCCCCCCUUCCUUCCUCCUGGUCUGUUCUAGGCAAAUGUAGAAAAAACUAAAACGUUUACUUGUCUCCUAAAUACAGUUAAGGAAAGAAUAUCACUUGAAUGUAAUUUCCUGCAACAUUUCAUUAAUCUCAUAUGUCCUCUGUCUUUUCCUGCUUCAGUACAAGAUUUUGUCUAGCUUCAAGUAAUUGAUACAAAGAGUCCUUGCAGCCUGCAGUUAUCCAUUAACUCCAUGGUACCCCAUCAAAGAGAAAGACUGCGUAUGUCUGAACUUCAUCCUAAUUUAAUAAGGAAAGAAAUUUAGUCAUUGUCUAGUUCUGAACUUUACUCACUCCAGUAUUUACAAGAUAGACUUCCAUGCAGUAGGCUUAAAACAAAACACAGAUCAGCUUUGUCUUUAUUACCUACAUGUUUAAUGACUGUAUGUGGACUUAGAAAAAUAUUCAUGUUAUACAAUUUCUAUUAAUCAACAAUUAGAAUUAGGAACACACAAGUACUCCCAAUUCCCUUUAAAAAGAUCUGGCUUCUGCACAUAUAGACAAACAAAUCACCAGCUUGUUUGGACAUAUUAGUAUUGCUACCCUUAAAACUGUUACGUUUUUUGUUUGGUUUCCUUUAAAUAAAAUACUGAAUUCUUCCAUUACUCAGUAGAGGAAUUCCUGCUGAUAGCGAUCAGGAUCGUUUUAAAACAUUUCAAUACAUUUCAAAAGUUUGAGUACAUAGCCAACUUUAAAUCAUAACUCCUCUGAAAAUUCUCAUGAUGGUAAUUUGGUAUAGUAUACAUGUCCAAGCAUCUUCCAGCAGAAUUACAACAUGCUGAAGUUCAGGGACAUUUAAAAAAAUAUUCAUCAAUACUUCUAGAAUAUCUGACUUGACAAAAUAAAAGUCUUUACAAAGGCUGACAACUUUCUUCUCUUGCUGACAGAGCAAGUAAAAAUGCUAGCUGGGAGUUUCCUCAUUACCUUCCAACAUCUACUGAAUUGUUAAGACAUCAUUAAUUAAAUCUUUUCCAUGCAGUUCCAAUGAAGGCACAAGUAUUUCCAACUAUAUGAAGAAUUUAUGUCCAUCAGAACACAUAGGAAGUAAUUUAUAAGGCUCCAGCUUUACAAAAAACAAGACAA